ACGUUUAAUGUUAGCAAAUGAAUUGCAGAUAUGAGUUAGAUCAAUUGUCAAGUUAGCGUAUCAGCAGCCUUGAAUCCAAGUUAGAUCCCCUUCAUAUUCAUUAGAAUAGUUUAUAAUAUAGUUUUAUAAAAAUAAACAAAUAAAUGUUAGCAAAUGAAUUGUUAUUCUUAUCUGGACCAGCGUAAAGAACAAAAUGAACCUGAUUUUGAAGCCCAACCUUUGAGGUUG
rnacentral:lncRNA from 1 species